UACGUAGGGUGCGAGCGUUAAUCGGAAUUACUGGGCGUAAAGCGUGCGCAGGCGGUUCGUGAUGUCUGGUGUGAAAGCCCCGGGCUCAACCUGGGAACUGCAUUGGAAACUAACGGGCUCGAGUGUGGCAGAGGGGGGUGGAAUUCCACGUGUAGCAGUGAAAUGCGUAGAGAUGUGGAGGAACACCGAUGGCGAAGGCAGCCCCCUGGGCUAACACUGACGCUCAGGCACGAAAGCGUGGGGAGCAAACAGG
rnacentral:rRNA from 1 species